UUUUUUUUUUUUUUUUUGAGACAGAGUCUGGCUCUGUCACCCAGGCUGGAUGGAGUGCAGUGGUGCAAUCUCAGCUCACUGCAGCCUCUGCCUCCCAGGUUCCAGAGAUUCUCCUGCCUCAACCUCCCAGGUAGCUGGGAUUACAGGCAUGCACCACUACGCCUGGCUAAUUGUUGUAUUUUUGUAGAGAUGGGGUUUCACCAUGUUGGCUAGGCUGAUCUUGAACUGCUGACCUCAGGUGAUCUGCCCCCUUCGGCCUCCCAAAGUGCUAGGAUUACAGGCAGGAACCACCGCACCGGGCCUUAGCUAUUUUUAAGUGUACAGUUUAGUAGCGUUAAGUACAUUCACAUUGUUGAGCAACCAGUCUCCAGAACUCUGUUCAUCUUGCAAAACUGAAACUCUGUAUCCAAUAAACACUGGCUCCCCAUUUCCCCCUGCCCCCAGCCCAUGGUAACCACCAUUCUACUUUCUGUCUUUAUGAAUUCGUAAUGGGAUACAGCAUUGUAUGUUUCGGGACUAGCUUAUUUCACUUAGCAUAAUGUCGUCAAGAUUCAUCCAUAUUUUAGCAUGUAUCAGAAUUUCCCUCCUUUUUGAAGCUGGAAAAUAGUCGUAUGUAUAUACUGCAUUUUUGUUCAUCAUUCAUCUGUUGUGGACAUGGGUUGCUUCUACCUUUUGGCUACUGUGAAUAAUGCUGCUUUAAACAUGGGUGUACAGACAUCUCUUCAAAACCCUGCUUUCCAUUCUUUUGGCUACAUGACCAGAAAUGGAAUUGCUGGACCAUAUUUUUUUUUAAUUUUUCGAGAAACCUCUAUAGUGUUUCCUAUAGUGGCUGCACCACAGUAGACACUUCUAAAGUUUCGGCCAUGUCCUGGGGGAAAGAAUUAUUGUACUGUAAACAACAUCUAAGGAAAAUAACUGUAUGGCCAAGAGUAAACAAUUUUCAUGCUUUAUUAGAAAAUGAUUAAAAUAAUUAAGAGCAUGGAAUUCCUAGAAUUGGGAGAGACAUUAUAAACCAUUUGGUCUACCCCUUUCCUUUACGAUGAGUAAACAGGUUUGUGGAGGUCAAACGGCCAGUUAAGUAAGGGAAGAACCAGAAUUGGCAUCCAGAGCUUUCCAAUCUUCAACUUAUUGCAGGAAAAUAAUAAUAAUUUUCAACUCGAAAAAUUAUGCGAAGAAGAAGAACCAUUGAGCGGAUGAUUCGCAACAUCCUCUGGGAUGUAUUUUCUGUGUGUUUUGUUUUCAGGGGUGUUUGUUAACCUCCCUAUGCCUUGGUUGACAUUGAAACCCCGCCUGUUUUUCUUGCUCCCGCCGCUGACUGGGUCCUGGGCAUCCUAGGAGACGGAGGGAGAGACAAAGGAAAUCAGUCCACAAUUAAGAUCCAGGGGGAAUGGAAUGAGACCCCAUGCUCGCCUGUGCGCUGGCCGGAGUCGCCAGCGUGCCGCGCGGAUUCAGCGCCCUUCUCAGGGCCUCAAAGAUCCCAGAGCGCUAGAAGGGUGGUUUGUGGCUCCCUGCAGUCCCCACGCCCCGGAUCCAAACGACAGAGUUCGGGGACUCACAGGGGCAGCAAGGAGGCAGAGCCGCGGAGCCCGUGCAACUUCUCCAGCGGGACCGCGCCCAAUCUUCCCCGCCGCAGUCGGGGAGCCCCGGGGCCGCCAAGCGCAGGCUGCGGACCGCGGCGGGC
rnacentral:lncRNA from 1 species